GGUCUGCUGGCGUAGUUAGAAGCGCAUCUGACUACAAAUCGGAAGGUUCCAAGUUCGAGCCCUAGGUGGAUCG